GUGCUCGUUUGGGCAGUGCAUACACCAAAAUCGGCUCAUACAGAGCAGACGAGCGUGGUCCCCGAGCAAGGAUGACAUGCAAAUUUGUGAAGCGUUGCACAUUUUU
ensembl:snRNA U6 U6 spliceosomal RNA